AUCGGGAUAACACCUGGAAACAGAUGCUAAUACCGGAUAACAACAGAUGAUGCCUAUCAACUGUUUAAAAGUAAUGGUUCUGCUAUCACUCUUGGAUGGACCUGCGGUGCAUUAGCUAGUUGGUAGGGUAACGGCCUACCAAGGCGAUGAUGCAUAGCCGAGUUGAGAGACUGAUCGGCCACAUUGGGACUGAGACACGGCCCAAACUCCUACGGGAGGCAGCAGCG
rnacentral:rRNA from 1 species